rnacentral:rRNA from 1 species
UGGGGAAUAUUGCGCAAUGGGCGAAAGCCUGACGCAGCAACGCCGCGUGGGUGAUGAAGGCCUUCGGGUCGUAAAGCCCUGUCAGGUGGGAAGAACCUCCUCGCGAGAGGACUGACGGUACCACCGAAGGAAGCACCGGCUAACUCCGUGCCAGCAGCCGCGGUAAUACGGAGGGUGCAAGCGUUGUUCGGAAUUACUGGGCGUAAAGGGCGCGUAGGCGGCCGGGCCAGUCCGGUGUGAAAGCCCGGGGCUCAACCCCGGAAGUGCAUUGGAUACUGCUCGGCUUGAGUUCGGAAGAGGAGGGCAGAAUUCCCGGUGUAGGAGUGAAAUCCGUAGAUAUCGGGAGGAAAACCAGUGGCGAAGGCGGCCCUCUGGGACGAAACUGACGCUGAGGCGCGAAAGCGUGGGGAGCAAACAGG